rnacentral:rRNA from 1 species
UGGGGAAUUUUGCACAAUGGGGGAAACCCUGAAGCAGCGACGCCGCGUGAUUUAGAAGGCCUUCGGGUUGUAAAAAUCUUUUGUAUAGGAAGAAAAUGACAGUACUAUACGAAUAAGGACCGGCUAAUUACGUGCCAGCAGCCGCGGUAAUACGUAGGUGGCAAGCGUUGUCCGGAUUUAUUGGGCGUAAAGCGAGCGCAGGCGGUCAAUUAAGUCUGAUGUGAAAGCCCCCGGCUCAACCGGGGAGGGUCAUUGGAAACUGGUUGACUUGAGUGCAGAAGAGGAGAGUGGAAUUCCAUGUGUAGCGGUGAAAUGCGUAGAUAUAUGGAGGAACACCAGUGGCGAAGGCGACUCUCUGGUCUGUAACUGACGCUGAGGUUCGAAAGCGUGGGUAGCAAACAGG